rnacentral:rRNA from 1 species
UCGUGCGAGAAGGGGACUUCGGUCCCUGAGUAGAGCGGCGCACGGGUGAGUAACGCGUGGAUGAUCUACCCAGAUAUUCGGGAUAACGGCGGGAAACUGCCGCUAAUACCGGAUACGCUCCAAUUUCGGUUGGGGGAAAGGCGGCCUCUGCUUGCAAGCUGUCGUAUCUGGAUGAGUCCGCGUCCCAUUAGCUUGUUGGUGGGGUAAUGGCCUACCAAGGCGACGAUGGGUAGCUGGUCUGAGAGGAUGAUCAGCCACACUGGAACUGAAACACGGUCCAGACUCCUACGGGAGGCAGCAGUGGGGAAUAUUGCGCAAUGGGGGAAACCCUGACGCAGCGACGCCGUGUGAGGGAAGAAGGCUUUCGGGUCGUAAACCUCUGUCGGGAGGGAAGAACCUUCCAGGCCUGAACAAGUCCUGGAACUGACGGUACCUCCAAAGGAAGCACCGGCUAACUCCGUGCCAGCAGCCGCGGUAAUACGGAGGGUGCAAGCGUUAAUCGGAAUCACUGGGCGUAAAGCGCGCGUAGGCGGCCUUUUAAGUCGGACGUGAAAGCCCUCGGCUCAACCGGGGAACUGCGUUCGAAACUGGG